rnacentral:lncRNA from 1 species
UUAGUUUCUAGAUACUAAAAAUGGAAUUCACAACCAUUCUUCUAAUUUUUUGGUAUGCUAUUUCUUUUAGGAGACAAAUCCGGGAAUCAUAGAAACUUCAUCUUCCUGAAUCGUACCCAAACAAAGAAAAAGAAAGGAAAAGAAAAUCUCCUCCAAAAAAGAAGAAAGUAAAAGAAACAAAAGGCCAGCAUUGGUUACCAGCUUCUCCUUUUGCUUUCCUCAUCAAAAUCUAAAACGACUCUUACAUAUUUUUUUCCUCAAAAACAAGAAACAGCCCAUUUCAGAAAACCAUCUUAGCAAAACAAGAAACAGAGAACACAACACAAACGAUCUCAAGAAACAGAACAAAAAAACACAGCUUGUUGUCGUUGUCUUUGUUUUGUUGGUUCCCUCCCAAGUCUCCCCUUUUUCCUUGGUCUGCUGCAAAAAAUGCAGCUUUUGUUCUUGAAACCUAGCAUGAAACAAAAACAAUGACAGAUGGGAGAUGGGAUAAGGGAGGAGAGAGAGGGAGGCCACAAAGGUUGAGUCUUUGUAGGUAGAAAGAGAGAAAUGAGCAAAGAGAACAUUGGCAUUGUAAAGGCCUGGGAAGCAAAAGUUAGGAAAUCACAAGCAACAAAGAAGAAGAACAAAAACAACAGUGUCUUUCUCACCAUGAUGUCAGCAGCAGUAGCUCAUGUUGAUGAUGACGAUCCUCCUUGUAAAGAACCUGUAAACCAUGCAGAAAAGAUCCUUUCUAAUGGU